UCCUCUCUUCCCCUCAAGCAAUUUUUCGGUGAGAGUGAAACCGGGGACAAAGGUAAUGCGGAUUCCGAUCGUAUCUCCGGCGCUGUUGGCACUUCAGCCGUGUUCAGUUGCUGAGGGCUGCUGUUUCUCACCGGAGAUUCCAUAUUCCAAUCCCAAAUGUUAAAGUUCGGCAUAAGCGCAGAUGCAGAUUCUGUCGGCGGUGGUGGAGCUACAGCGGAGUUGUUAUGGACAGGGUUGUUACUUCUCACCGGAGAUUCCGCAAACUGAUCUGAAACGUUUGAGUUUCUUGGCGAUGAUUCUGAACUCUUCGUCGAACAUCUUUCCGGCGAUAAUGAACCUGACGGUGAUGGCGGUGAAGAUUCUGGAGCAAUUAGACCUCGUAUUUGCGGUGGAACCAGAAUAGUUUGCUCGAGAAGACUGCUAUCUCGCACUGGAGAUUCCGAAUUCUGAUCCGAGACAUUCGAAUUCCUCGGCGAUGAACUCAGUGCCAACGGCGA
rnacentral:lncRNA from 1 species